rnacentral:rRNA from 1 species
UACGAAGGGGGCUAGCGUUGUUCGGAUUUACUGGGCGUAAAGCGCACGUAGGCGGGUUGUUAAGUCAGGGGUGAAAUCCUGGAGCUCAACUCCAGAACUGCCUUUGAUACUGGCAACCUAGAGGCUGGAAGAGGUUAGUGGAAUUCCCAGUGUAGAGGUGAAAUUCGUAGAUAUUGGGAAGAACACCAGUGGCGAAGGCGGCUAACUGGUCCAGUACUGACGCUGAGGUGCGAAAGCGUGGGGAGCAAACAGG